rnacentral:sRNA from 1 species
AGAGCUUCGCCGAGCCAUCCUCCUCCCAAAGGCUCCGGCGGAUACGGCCCCGCGCUUCUCCUCCCAAUCGCGCAGGGCCCCUGAAAGUCGCCCGUCGGGUCCUCCCCCCGACGGGCGUUUUCG